UUUAAAAUUAAUAAUAAUCCCUCGCUAUAACCCGGCGUUUUAACCUCACCGUCGGAGAGAGGGACUGCGGUUACGGCCACUGAGUGACUGAAGACCGAGCUGCAGCAUUUUUAGCGUGACAUCGGCGAAAACACGAUGAAAACGCGUCGAAAUGGGGAAAAGCUGUUGUGCGAUAGACUGUACUAACAGAUUAACAAGAAUUCGGAGUUAUCGUUUUAGAGACUGCCAAAAUCACCGAAAGGAGAAGUAAAUAGAUCGUUCAUUCCAACGUCCACAGAGAACAGGAGAAGAUGGAUCCAUUGCUGCCCAAGCUAAGCUUUUUUGACACAAUUGUGCCAAAAAAUAGGCAACAAUGCCUUCUCAGGGGAACAAAGGAGGCCAAUCGAAACACAUGCUUCAAAAAGACAACAGUCGAGGACCAAAAGGCGGCUUGUGAGGAAGCUAAAAAGAGAUGUCGGCACUUCACCUUGACUCCAUCAGAGGAGCAGUAUCUCGGCCAGCUUCAUUUGACCUUUGGAAAAUACAAUGGCCAAAGCUUUAAAUGGCUGGUCAAAAAUGAUGAUGAUGUUGGCUA